AUAUUGUACAUCUUACUUAAUACUGACUAAUUUUCAGUCGAAACAAUUAUUUUAAUUGACAAUGAAUAAGAAUUACAAAUGAUCAAGGAUAAAUGAGUUAUUCCAUGCAUGUCUUACAGAACUUUCGCUUUGCGUUUUCAAAUUUUUUAGUCAUUAAAUUGUCAAUUCAUUUUAUAUAGAGAGAAUAUCGACAAUAAAAUGUCAAAUUUAGAAAAUUUCAAGAUAUGUAAAAUUUCAAAGUUUUUAAUAUCGACUAAAUUAAAGAGUUUAUUAGCGAGAUACAUUGUUAUUUCAUUUAUCAGAUUCGGACAAUCAGCUGAUACAUCGGCUGAUUGAGAAAGGUUUAAUACUCGGCGGCGCCACAUCAACCAAAAAUAAUUAAAAGAAAACGAAGGCUCUCUCUUGAGUGUUCCCCUGAGAUAUUUUUUCCGUGUCUUUCUUUCAGGUAUAAAUGUCAAUCUACCUAUGGGUAUACUAUAAAUUAAUAGAGACAACAUAUACGGCGGUGGAUUGCGGAGAUGUGCAAAAUAUAUGAAAGGUAUUAUCAAUAAAAUGUAUAAAUAGAGAAA